rnacentral:rRNA from 1 species
AGUGAACGCUGGCGGUAGGCCUAACACAUGCAAGUCGAACGGCAGCACAGUAAGAGCUUGCUCUUACGGGUGGCGAGUGGCGGACGGGUGAGGAAUACAUCGGAAUCUACUUUUUCGUGGGGGAUAACGUAGGGAAACUUACGCUAAUACCGCAUACGACCUACGGGUGAAAGCAGGGGAUCUUCGUACCUUUCGCGAUUGAAUGAGCCGAUGUCGGAUUAGCUAGUUGGCGGGGUAAAGGCCCACCAAGGCGACGAUCCGUAGCUGGUCUGAGAGGAUGAUCAGCCAAACUGGAACUGAGAAACGGUACAGACUCCUACGGGAGGCAGCAGUGGGGAAUAUUGGACAAUGGGCGAAAGCAUGAUACAGCAAUACCGAGUGGGUGAAGAAGGCCUUCGGGUUGUAAAGCCCUUUUGUUGGGAAAGAAAAGCAGCAGGUUAAUACCCCGCUGUUCUGACGGUAACCAAAGAAUAAGCACCGGCUAACUUCGUG